GUGCCACGUGUCCCACGUCUCCCAGUGGGAGACGUUGGAUGUCCCCCUGGCCAUUUAAUGAAUUUUGGGUCUUCUUCUUCCUCAUAACACCAAACAGAGAGAGCACACCAAACAGAGAGCACGAAAGGGGUUGCGAUUUUAGGGUUUUCAAGGUUGUGAUUUUGGUGGUGAGAUUUUAGAGAGUACUUUGCAUCAAAACUUCUAUAUCUAUCAAUCACACAUUUGAGAUGGUUAGGUCACUAUUAUAGGGGAAAUGCUGCCCGAUAUUAUUUAGGAUAAUAAACGAUUAGUUGAGAACGGGCAUUACUUGAUUGAACAUGCAAGUCCCAGGCAUUACUUGAGAACGCUAACAAGCACAUCAUAUACAGAGGCACAAAUUGAUGAGUUGCGACAAGAAUGGGCGACAUAUAUGUUGCCGAUAAUCCAAAGUUACCGACCUCGUUGAUAGGUUUUUUUUUAAUUUUUUAACUCUUUCUUCAUACACAAUGCAAUAUUUGUUCAUUUUGAAUAUUUCUAACAAAUAUUGUAUUUCUUGUAUAUAUCUAACAAAUAUAUUUUUUUAUUUCAAUUUAAAUUAAUAUUAUUUCAAUUUAAUUAAUUUAAAUUUAGAUUAAAAUAAUUUCAAUUUAAAUUAAUAUUAU